UACGAAGGGAGCUAGCGUUGUUCGGAAUCACUGGGCGUAAAGCGCACGUAGGCGGAUGUGUCAGUCAGGGGUGAAAUCCCGGAGCUCAACUUCGGAACUGCCUCUGAUACAGCACGUCUUGAGUCCGGAAGAGGUGGGUGGAAUUCCUAGUGUAGAGGUGAAAUUCGUAGAUAUUAGGAAGAACACCGGUGGCGAAGGCGGCCCACUGGUCCGGUACUGACGCUGAGGUGCGAAAGCGUGGGGAGCAAACAGG
rnacentral:rRNA from 1 species